CAGUCGCCACGGGAAUACGAAGGGUGCAAGCGUUACUCGGAAUUACUGGGCGUAAAGCGUGCGUAGGUGGUGGUUUAAGUCUGUUGUGAAAGCCCUGGGCUCAACCUGGGAAUUGCAGUGGAUACUGGGUCACUAGAGUGUGGUAGAGGAUAGUGGAAUUUCCGGUGUAGCAGUGAAAUGCGUAGAGAUCGGAAGGAACAUCUGUGGCGAAGGCGACUAUCUGGGCCAACACUGACACCGAGGCACGAAAGCGUGGGGAGCAAACAGGAUUAGAUACCCCGGUAGUCCCUGUCUCUUAUAA
rnacentral:rRNA from 1 species